rnacentral:lncRNA from 1 species
ACCGCCUCCUCCAAUGGCGACCUGGCCGAUCUUCUUGCUGAAACCGAGCCUCUCGACCAUCUGUCUGGCCACGCGGGAGACCUGCAUGAAGUCGUUGGAAGCUCCCGUGGUGACCUUCUCCUUCCCGAAGAUGACCUCCUCAGCCACUCUGCAAGCCCCCCCCCCCGGCAAGAACGUUAGAAGCUCCUCUCGGAGAAGAUCCCACGGAGGGUUUUCAGGGAGGGAGAAGCUGAGACCUUCCACCGAGGGCGACGGCCAUCUGGUUCUCCAGGUAGCUCCUGCUGUAGAGUCCCGAUUCCAGUCUCUCCUCACUGGGGGCGAAGAAGGUCAGCCCACCGGCCUGCCCACGAGGAACGAUGGAGAUCUUGGCCACAGGGUCGUACUCCGGCAUGAGGGCCCCCACCAGAGCAUGCC